AUCGGAGUGGGUGGCCGGUUGGACUAUUGGAAGUACCUUUCUGGGGUUGCCAUUGGAGGAUGUGAUAUGAAGAUGAUUUUUGCAUGAGGAAAUUGUUCUCUCCCAAAGUCAGAUCUUCAGUGGCCUUGGACGAUUUUUCCAUCAAAUGCUAAUGCAAGUUGGAAUUUUGUAAUUUUCACAAGGGGAAGAUGUGAUAAUUUUGGUGUUCAAUUGAAGAAUUUUGCACAAUUCCUCAGUGAAAAUCUGAGAAAGGAAAAUUAAUGAUCAAUGGAAUGAAAAAGGAAAAAGCAUUACAGUGAUCUUGUAGCAUUUGUAUGUACUUGCGUAUCGAUUCGCCAUUUGCUGUGCCGUUUGAGAAUCUGAGUGGUACAAGUUGGAAGCCACUGCACUAGCUUGGAGGAUGAAGUGAGAUGUCCUGUCCAGCUAGGUGACGACACUUUCACUCUGAUUCCUUGAUAUUAUAUUGCCUCUACAGGUGCAAGUUGCAAUUUUGAUUGAUAGACAUGGUGUGUUAUUAGUGCAUGCAUAUUUACCCCUGUAUGAAUUAUCCUGCCGAGCCUCUUCAAUGUUGGAACUUUGAGUAUAUAUCUUUCUAUGAAAAAAAAAUUAUUUGUUUGAUUUGGACAAUACUCGAGUAGGCUUAAGCAUAUUUGGUAUUAAACACCAAGCUCUUCCCCUAGUUUCGAGAAAUAUACUUUUGAUAUAUGUUUAUGUGAAAACAUGUAUUGUUGAGAAUGAGAACAAUGUGUAUUGAAAAACAGGAUUUGGAAAAUGAUAUUGAAAAAGUGUUAUUAAA